CAGUAGCCGCGGGAAUACAGAGGGUGCGAGCGUUAAUCGGAUUUACUAAGCGUAAAGCGUGCGUAGGCGGCUUUUUAAGUCGGAUGUGAAAUCCCUGAGCUUAACUUAGGAAUUGCAUUCGAUACUGGGAAGCUAGAGUAUGGGAGAGGAUGGUAGAAUUCCAGGUGUAGCGGUGAAAUGCGUAGAGAUCUGGAGGAAUACCGAUGGCGAAGGCAGCCAUCUGGCCUAAUACUGACGCUGAGGUACGAAAGCAUGGGGAGCAAACAGGAUUAGAUACCCGAGUAGUCCCUGUCUCUUAUAC
rnacentral:rRNA from 1 species